rnacentral:rRNA from 1 species
UGAGGAAUAUUGGUCAAUGGUCGGGAGACUGAACCAGCCAAGCCGCGUGAGGGAUGAAGGUGCUAAGCAUUGUAAACCUCUUUUGUCAGGGAACAAAGGCAUCCACGAGUGGGUGUGUGAGUGUACCUGAAGAAAAAGCAUCGGCUAACUCCGUGCCAGCAGCCGCGGUAAUACGGAGGAUGCGAGCGUUAUCCGGAUUUAUUGGGUUUAAAGGGUGCGUAGGCGGCCUGUUAAGUCAGCGGUAAAAGCCCGGGGCUCAACCCGCGAGCGUGAACAUGGCUGGCUGGAGUUGGCGAUGAGGUAUGCGAAUGCGCGGUGUAGCGGUGAAAUGCUUAGAUAUCGCGCAGAACUCCGAUUGCGAAGGCAGCAUGCCGGCGCCACACUGACGCUGAGGCACGAAAGCGUGGGUAUCGAACAGGAUUAGAUACC